AAGGAUCAUUAUCGAAAAGCAAUCCGGGGGGGAGGC
rnacentral:rRNA from 1 species